GAAAGGCAAGACCGGCUCGCACGGAACCUACAAUGGCUGGAGUGCCAGCUUCUUCUCUCGUCUCAAUCUCUUUCAGAGCCACCUCCACAACCUGAUGGGACAGGGUUCACAAACAAAUUCUUUUUUGCCACAAGGAUACCUGUGAAUAAUCAGCACAAGAAAUCAGAACAGAAAACUCAAGGGAGUCAAAAUCCGCGUGGUAAAUCUCAAGACAAAAGCUCCUGCCUUUCGAACCGGUAUGGAAAUCAAAGGGCUGGGGUUCUGUCGUAUGAUUGAUUAUCACAGCUUCCAAUAUUCCCGGACAAAAUGAAUGAGAAUAUAAACAAAAAACAGACAACGAUUUAGAAGUCCAGCUCAUUUAAAAAUCGUAGGCGAGUUGCGUGCAUUAUUUUUCUGCAGAGGAGCUCCACACGUACGACUUUGUUAUCGACAGUUAGGCUGCACGCGGCCUGUGAUUGAUUUCUGCAUAUAUCCACGAAAAGAUGCAUUUCGGGAACUUUAUAAAAACAUCAGCCUCUGUUGGGUGCGUAGAUAUGCCUACUUCCUUAAUUGAUUAUGGAUAUUGUUAGAGCUUAUAAGAUCCGAGAAGAGAACAGUUUUUUGCUAAGCAAAGCUCGAGGAGGAUCAUGACAUGUUGUUCGCUUCAAUGAUUAGAUAAUGUCCAUGAAAAAAGAUUUAAAUUUAUUUUAAUGCCAAAUGAGGGCCUCUUUCUUGGCCAUAAUUCAGUCGACUUCAGUAAGAGAUUUUUUGGGUGCGCUGAGCGAAACUUCUUGGAAAAGUUGCCCAAAAAUAAUUUACUCUUUAUGGUGUCGACCGUAUAGCACUGGUGUAAUUUUAUGAUCAAAAUAUGUUUCACUUGAUCAAUUAUUUAGGAAGACUUUCAUCGGACUAAAGUCAGGGAUAAUGCGGCUGAAGUUUAUUCAGUCACGAGUCAAUUACACGUGAAUUUUAAGGCCAGUUUUUCAACUAUGGGUGUUGUUAUCCGAUUUUCCAGAAAUCGAAAACGGUUUUUUCCCUAACCUUUUUGUUACUUCCCAAAAUCGUGCACUUGUUUCGUGCACUUGCGUAAAGACACUGUUUGCAGAUGGUGGAACAUAAAAGUUUACAGAUGGCGGAACAUAAAAAAAACCAGUUAACAGUGAUGUCUUGAUUUGAUAGGCUUCUCAUUUACAUACUUUACCUCUGGCCUGCAGAACACGGGUCACCGUUUUCAAUAAUUUUAAUUUAUCUUUUACGCUCUAUUUUAUUAUUAUCAAAUUUUUUCAUCUUUUUCAGAUGAGCGCGCGUGCGACAGCGGGAGGAAGAACGCGAAGAGAAUGAUUCUCGCUUCGCGCGCCUGAAAAAAAAAAACAUGA